GAGAAGAACGCAGCGAAAUGCGAUAAGUAAUGUGAAUUGCAGAAUUCAGUGAAUCAUCGAAUCUUUGAACGCACAUUGCGCCCGCCAGUAUUCUGGCGGGCAUGCCUGUUCGAGCGUCAUUACAACCCUCAGGCCCCCGGGCCUGGCGUUGGGGAUCGGCGGAGCCCCCCGUGGGCACACGCCGUCCCCCAAAUGCAGUGGCGGUCCCGCCGCAGCUUCCAUCGCGUAGUAGCUAACACCUCGCGACUGGAGAGCGGCGCGGCCACGCCGUAAAACACCCAACUCUUCUGAAGUUGACCUCGAAUCAGGUAGGAAUACCCGCUGAACUUAAGCAUAUCAAUAAGCGGAGGA
rnacentral:misc_RNA from 1 species